GCCUCCUCCUGGCCCGGCAGGAGCUUCUCUGUACAUGUUCUUAUUCCAACAAGUCUGGAAUCAAUUCCAUUUUCGGCUCCACCUUUUUUUUUUUUUUUCACUCAUGCAGAGUGGAAUGCAGGAUUUUAGUUCCCUGACCAGGGAUCGAACAUGUGCCUCUCCCAGCUUUGGGAACACAGAAUCUUAACCACUGGAGGAAGUUCCCCACAUAACUUCUGAAAGUCUGCUGACAAGCCACAUUCUGGAUAAACACUUCCCUGCUCUCCAGAGCUAAGCAGGAAGUUUCUUCCUCUAAGCUCUUCCAGCUUCUGAGGGUCACUUUAUGCAAGCUGUCCUCUUUCAUGUUGAAUCAGAUCUUUCUUCUUCCAAUGCAUGGUGCAGAACUAUAGAGAACAUGGAACUGGAUUUUACAGGAGAGCAACCAUUACAGAAUCUGAGGCAUUACCUACACGGCCACCACAGAGUUUAUUACUGUAACAUCUUGAAGGAAAAAGUCAAGAACUAAAAACUGCAGGAUUCACGCUGCCCAGAGUGUGGCUUCUGACAUGGCAUCAAGGAAUGUCAAGAUCCUCUGAAUCUCAGCUGAUCAUUUAGGUUUUAGAAAGUCCAGAUCAUCAGGAUGACCUUCCCCCUUCUGUCACUUACUACCAUCUCUGGGUUUAUUCUCCUAGGACAUUCUCAGCAUCUCCCAGGACAACGACCAGUCUGGUUAAAGACCUAAAGUCAUGCACUUAAAUAUUACUUCUUUUAAAGGACGGUUAAAAAAAAAAGUAAUGUCAGUCCCAGUGUAAUUAUAAAAC
ensembl:lncRNA